CGCAUGCGUUACCCCAGGCAGCAGACCCUCAGCCUGCGCAUGUGCGUUGCGCUAGGCGACGCGGCAGGUUGACAGGUGGUGAGCUCGAGCUGUUGUCCGCCUCAGGGGCAUUGGAACCUGCGGCUUGGUCGCUGUAUGGAGAUUAUCCUUGGCUCGCAAUUUAACACAGGGCAAGUGUAUGCAAAAACAUCUAAAUGAAAGCAAGUGGUAACUUAAUUGUCAUUUCAUCUAAAGUGGAGCAAGAAACUUAGCAGGCUCUGUUGUGAAGAGUGAUCAUUUGGGUGAGGCAUCAAAGGAUUACAUCAGCUUACAGAUUCCCCCAAGCUUGGGUUGUCGUCUCCAGGAGUGGAGAGUCAAGAUACAUGGAUUUUCAGUGGCGUAAGUUUGAAUUGAAAGGAGGGGAUGAAGAGUGAUAUAUCAUCAUAUGCAAUAAAGAGAAAGCAAUUUCAACACCACCUUGUUGGAGGAACGAAGCUAGAUACCACCCAGCCAAAAAGGAGGCAGGAACAUUGGCAGGCAAAGAUGUCCCGAGGCAUGGUACAUUGGUGAAACCGAACAA